GUGCAAAUCUUUAAAGAGAAGUUUGAAAUUAACGUAGAGUACUAUCAUUCAAAUUUAUGAGGUUUUUAUAAUACAAUUCAAAGAAAAUUAAGCAGGAAGGCAAAAGCUUGCUUAACUAAUGAGUCGGGAUAUAACGGUGCCGUAUAAGUGUCCUAUCUUGUGCAGUAAAACAUUUCAAUGGUUGUACACUUGGUCACAGGCUCGAUUCCUCGGUAGAGAGCAGUUCGGAGGACGUGUGAGAAUGAAGGACAAUAGUACCCCGCGCGCCGGUGCGGUGCUGAGCAAAAAAGCCAUGAAAAAAUUUAUUAUUUCCACAUUAAUUGUUGUUUGAACGUAACUCGGGUAAAACGGGUCAACACUUUUACUAGAUAGUUUUAUUAAUUUUAAAACAUUUAUUUAUUAGUAUUUAAAUCACAAAUAAUUAUAAAAAAAACUAAGAUUAUGUUCAAUUAAAAUUAAAGCGUUUAGUCUAGAGUCUACUUAAUUAAUCGAAUAAUUAUAGUGAUUCAAUAGAAAUAGCUACUACAAUUA